GCAACUAGCUUCUGUUGCCUCCGCCGACGGAAAGAGAAUAUCGAGGAAGUGAAGUGCAGCCGCAAGCCGCAUUGUUGUCAGAGGUGACCUCGAUAGCAGGCGUAGUAGCGAGAACCUUUGGUCUUGGCCUUGAGUUGUCCGGUCCAAUCGGUUCUUACCAAGAAUUAUGCAGGCAUGCAUUUGAGGAAUGUCAACUAGUGUAAUAAGAAGUGUGCCCACAACAAUCAGCCUGGAGCAUGUAUGUAUACCGAAGGAAGUUGUGGUCCAGGGUUGCAGCGAUGAGGCACUGUUUUGCAGGAGAAGGAGGAUAACAAUGGCGUCAGUCAUGCACCAGCCGCUGCCGCGUUGUCCAUUGGGGCAUGCAACUAGCUCGCUGAUGCCUCUGGCGCGGGAAGAGAAUGUCGGGGAAGUUAAUUGCAGCUGCAAACCGUAGUGUGGUAGCAGCGAGAACCUUUGGUCUUGGCCUUGAGCUGUCCAGUCCAAUCCGUCGCUUGAGCUUGAUUCAUGGACUGAGCUUCUUCUUCGACCAACGGUAGCUGGAUGCAGAGCUGGAGCGUCUUCAAGGGCUUAUCUAACAGGUAUAGAAGAAAAUGCCAAGACAACCUGAAGAAACUAGUUUAUGUCCGUGUGAUUUUUCUGGUCGCUUUGGAGUCUGACCCUGCCUGGAAAGCUGGCUUGGCCUUGGCGCGGUGCCACUGCUGGUGAUGUGCUGCCUGUUGCAUGUGUGUGAUACUACUGUUUCGGUCCUUGUAGUGUCGUCUUUGUAAUGCUCCAGACUAGGGAGUUUUGUAAUGCUCCAGACCAGGGAGUUAUAGUUAUUGUGUAGCUAGAUGUAACCUGUGGUACGUUUGCAUUCUUUGGUACUUGACUAGUGUUUUUGUCUGGCCAGAAUUUGCAAAUCAUGUGGGUUAUUUGAGAAGAUAUGAUUUGUGUUGCGUACACAGUAAUGUUUGUUGCAUGUUGUGAAUGUUAAAAAAAGAGGAGAGGUUAUGCCAAUAUUUUGAGCACCGUUGCUAUCUAUUUUCUGUUAAUAAUAUGUCAUCCAUAAUCAAGCUGAGCUUGCUGCUAGGCAGAGGAAAUCGAUU